rnacentral:rRNA from 1 species
AUGCCUGGGUGGCAUGUACCAGCUCAAGGGUGGACGAUCAACUACAAUGUGGGCAUGCAUGAAAGUUGUGAAAUAGAGGACAGCCGGCUGUUUAUUGUGAACUACAUCAGGGGUUCACUUGACUAUACAUGGAGAUGGAGACUUCCUCUGACACCGGGCCGGCUGCAGUACCUCCGCAAAUUAAUCGCGUACGAGCCGCAUCUCUUCGUCCGCACGAGGAGAUCCAUAGGGAAGGAUCCCCUUUUCUGCAAAGCCCGCGACUUGCCGGCUCCGGCGGCGGCGCUCAUGUCCUGGAGGGAAUUGGGGCUUGAUCUGGAGGCAUGGAAGACCCUCGAGCUCCUCCUCCAGAGCCCGAACGGCUCCUGCAGAAGUCGACGGCAUGGGGAAGACGAAGACUUGCUCCAGCCACAUGCCACUGCCCCGUGCUCGUCUUGCCGCUGCCGUUCCCCUCCUCGAGCUGGCGGACUGAUGAUGCAGGACCCGCCCUCUUCGCUCCACCGGCAGCGCCGCUGCCGCUGA